CCUACGGGAGGCAGCAGUAGGGAAUCUUUCACAAUGGGCGCAAGCCUGAUGGAGCAACGCCGCGUGCAGGAUGAAGGCCUUCGGGUUGUAAACUGCUUUUAUAAGCGAGAAAUAUGAUGGUAACUUAUGAUUAAGGAUCGGCUAACUACGUGCCAGCAGCCGCGGUGAUACGUAGGAGCCGAGCAUUAUCCGGAGUGACUGGGGGUAAAGAGGUGCGUUGGUGGUAUAAUGAGUAGCUGGUGGAAUCUGGGGGCUUAAGCAUUGAGACUGUUGGCUAAACUGUUAAGCUCGAGACCGUUAGGGGUAACUGGAAUUUGUAGUGUAGGAGUGAAAUGCGUAGAUAUUAGAAGGAACACCGAUAGCGUAGGCAGGUUGCUGGGACGGUUCUGACGCUAAGGCACGAAGGCGUAGGGAGCAAACGGGAUUAGAUACCCGUGUAGUC
rnacentral:rRNA from 1 species